rnacentral:rRNA from 1 species
CAGCAGCCGCGGUAACACAGAGGGUGCGAGCGUUAAUCGGAUUUACUGGGCGUAAAGCGUGCGUAGGCGGCUUCUUAAGUCGGAUGUAAAAUCCCUGAGCUUAACUUAGGAAUUGCAUUCGAUACUGGGAAGCUAGAGUAUGGGAGAGGAUGGUAGAAUUCCAGGUGUAGCGGUGAAAUGCGUAGAGAUCUGGAGGAAUACCGAUGGCGAAGGCAGCCAUCUGGCCUAAUACUGACGCUGAGGUACGAAAGCAUGGGGAGCAAACAGGAUUAGAUACCCCCGUAGUCCCUGUCUCUUAUAC